GUAAAACUCCCUCCUACCUAUUUUGCAAGAGAGUGACCUCUUGCAGGUAAGCCUGCACAACAAUUUUGGAGCUGACAAAUUCUGACGCAGAAAGAAAAUUGGUGGAAAAGCGGGCGGAAAACCUUUUUUUCAAGCAGAAGGAGUUUCAAAAUCUCUCCCCUCCAUCAAACCGAUUAAUCAUCUAAUCACUCGAUCAUUUUCUUUACAUUUUCCGAACGUGUCCCCCCAUAUCGUCACAAUCCGAACGAUCGAACAAUCUGAAUAUCCGCUUUUCAAAAGCUCAAGCCCUGAUAAUCUUUUGGUGUUUUUUCCUCGAUAUAAUAAUCCAAAAAUGAUAAAUAAAUAUUUUCAUGAGUAUCUGACACAUAUUCUGUGAAUGUGAGUAAGAAAUAGAAAAUAAAAGUUACUCAAAUCUAAUUUUCUUUCUUUUUUUCUAAAUUGUGAGAUUUUCUACAUUUUCCAAGGAAUGAACUUUGUGUUGUUG
ensembl:lincRNA linc-94 ncRNA